CACUACGGUAAGUCAGCCACAUGCUCCUGGAGAGCCCCCAGAGCCCCUGACCCACUCAGGAACUACAUCACUCUCUUCUUCUCAUUAAAAAAUAAUCCUUCAGUUUCUUAAACUGCACGGAGGGUUCAUGGAUGAUUGUUUUAUUAUUCUCUAACCUAGACUGAUGUGCCUUUUAUGCAUUUGAAAUAUUUCAUUAAAAUAGUAAAAGCAAUUAAAUUAAAACCAAUUCUCUUAGUGGCAGUUUUAAGGACCUUCCUCAGCAUAGGGAUAUUUGCUGCUUCCCUUUUUUUCUCUCCACACACGAUUUAGCAACAGAGCGUGCCUUUUCCUGAGGAAGGGGAUUAGCGAGGCCUGAGCCUUUCCACAUGGCUCAUGUUCACUGAGUGGUCAGAGGACAUGGGCCACCUGCAUGGCACCAGGGACAGGGCUUUGCCUUUGCCUGCCCUCAGGGAGGAGGGCACCUAAGCUGCCCUGACUCGAGGUGGGAAGAGUCCUGGGGCAGGACUAGGAACAGGUAGGAGGGGAGGCUGCCCAGGGCAGUGUGAAGACACAUCUAGUCUUCAAUCAGAAAAUGGGGGCUGGGAGUGCAGCUUCGUGGCAGAACAUAUGCUUAGCAUGAGUGAGACCCUGGGUUCAAACCCUAGCAACAGCAAAGAAAGGAAGGGGAAGGGAAAGGAAGGAAAAGAAAAGAAAAAAGGCAGGACCGGAAAAAAUAAUUCUUGGCUCUCUUCAACCCAGUUUCCUCCAUCUGCGUCCACUCUGCCAGCCACUUCCUGCCUUCAUGCCUUCAAACCUGCAGACCUUCUAAAUAUUCUACCCAAUGAGAAAUGAAGGUCCUGCCUGUGAUUAUAAACUAACUCAGAAUGGCAGAGGGUUUCAUUCCCCAGGCCAGUGCUGGUUGAUCUGUAAUGGCUGCCUAGAGAUGUGGGUGGAGACCAAGUCUAAAGCCAUCUGAGGCUCAGGGGGAAGGGUGUCAACAUUGAUUGGUGAUGUCUGCCAUGAGAGCCAAAUGGGAAAAUGUUGGCGUGGGUGCCAGAGACUUUCUAACUAAGGGACCCAACAAAGAA
rnacentral:lncRNA from 1 species